ensembl:lncRNA
CUAGAGUCAUAGUGAUUCUGAUAUUGUUGUCUUCAUAUUCGUACUUUUACUUUGGAUUCGGAGACAUUUAGCUUUAUAUGAUUCUACCCCAAUCUGUCAUUCUCCAAACAUAACCGAUGGCAAAACUAUAAUCACACAGUUUUUCCCUCCAGCUUCUUAGUUUCCAGUCAUUAACAAAAAAGAAAGAAAGAAAGAAAAAUGUUAAAGGUACUGAGAAAAGUUCAGUGCUUACAGCUGGUUUCAGCAAUUUCAACUUGCGCAAGACCCCAUGUUUGUGAAAACAACCCAAGAAUCUUUGAACAGGAUGUAAUCAACCUCCGAUCUGCUGAGAAACGCUGCAAAAAUGACUUCAGUUGCCAAAAAUAAUAACGUCGUUUACAAGCAGCUCUUCCUAUGUCUAAGGAAGAACCAGCCACGCGUGCGAGUUUAUGCUGGCUUCAGACAAGCAAGCAAGGAAAAGGGCAAAUCCUUCCUCCCUCCCUUAAAAUACACAGUAUCGGAACCCGCGGGAAGCCGGAGCCCAUUUCAAAGGUAUUGGCAAUAUUGGCGGAGGUUCAUAUCCACAAAAAUCCAAACAAUUAUGUGAUUUGGUGCCUGGAAGUCAUUACUGGAAAUUUGGCUCUAAGUGAGCUGGCAGUAUCCAGGAAAAUGAUCUUGGGUAUACAGGUAAAUAGAAAUUAUAGCUCUUCAGUGACAGCAAGAGUCAUCAUGAUUUUUUUUUUUAGAGUUGUUGAUGACUCAAAUACCACCGAAACAGCUGGAAAUGGCAGCACCUGAAAUGGAAAAAACAAGAGCUGAAAGUUUAUUUUGAAUGAGAGGCAUUGUCCAACUCUGAGACUGAAUGAUGGCAGCUGAGAGUAAGUGCAAGCACAAUCAAUAAUGACUCCAGGUAUGAAAUUAUUCAGAAUCUCUCUUGUUUUCCAUGUUUUUCUCCUGCUACAUUCACAAUGUAUCUGUUCACCGCAAUACUAUCUGUGGAGGAGGAAAAAAUUUCCUCAGUUUAGUUGUUCUUAAUGAUAGCUUUUGAGCUGUCCUGAUUUGAAAUUACAGUGAUAGAAGGGGCUGUUUCAGAUAAAAGAAACAAUGUAUUCCAAAGCCAAAUUGUAUAUUGGGCAGGUAAGAAAGCUUCAUCAUUAAAUUGUCUUUAACAUGCUUCGCUUUUACCUUCUGCCUUAAAUUUUCAUAUUAGCCACUUUCUCUUUUCUGUGCUGUGUAGCUUUGGGCAAGGUUAUUUCAUUGAUCCUGGUCCUUUCCAAUGUUAAUAUUUUAUUGAUAUAGACCAUAGGAACUGCUCUUAAAUUUGUGUUGAACAACCUAAAAUUGCAGCAUUUUAUAUUUGAAUACCACAUCAAGAGUUUGCAAGGUACUUUAACAUCAUAUUUAAUUAAACUUCACUGCAAUACAAUAUGUUGUCCAGAAUAUGUAUUUUUUAAGCCUCCUUCUUUAAUAGUCAUACUUCAUGUGUCAUACGUAUAUAUCACAGACACAUCACUAUAAGCAACAUGCCCCAACUUAUGCUUUGUGUUUUGUUUUAGGAUUUCCUUUUCAAUAUAACUUUUUUAAAAAUUUUUUUUAUUUUUAGGGCUGCAGCUAUGGCAUAUGGAAGUUCCCAGGCUAGGGGUUGAAUUGGAGCUGCAGCUGCCAGCCUAUAUCACAGCCACACCAAUGUCAAAUUCAAGCCAAGAUCCUUAACCCACUGAGCAAGGCCAAGGAUCUAACCCACCUUCUCAUGGAUACUAGUUGGCUUCAUAACCUGGUGAGCCACAACAGGAACUCCUUUUAUCAAUACGAUUUUUAAAAAAAAUAAAAACCUUCCUCCUACUUAUAUUACAAAAAAUAAGACCACUUAGUGAUGCAGAAAUCUUUCUCUCUUUCUUUCUUUCUUUCUUUCUUUCUUUCUUUCUUUCUUUCUUUCUUUCUUUCUUUCUUUCUUUUUGAUUUCUAUAAUGAUGCAAAGCACUGAUUGGGCCAGUUAUCACAUGGAAUAUGAAUAUGAAUAAGAUGAAAUUCUUGACUUCAAUGAAAUUAAAGUCUUUUGUUUUCCUUACCAAAUCCUUCUUUGCCAGCACUCUCACUCAACAAUUUCAGUUUAAAAAAAAAAAAAAAGGCACUUAUUUUAAAACCUGGGGAGGCAAGCUGGAGCCAGGACAGACUUUAUACUUGUUGGAACUGUUCUGACCAUGCUUAGAUGUACAACAUUCUUUUUCAUUUGGUUGCCUUUAUAAUGCAAAGGGCAGAGGCAAAUGAUUCAGAGCACAAUCGGCGCCAUCCAGAGUAUUGAAACACUCCUCUUAAUGACAAUGCCAAGUUACUCUGUUCGUGAAACACUUGAAAAAUGAGAACAGCGAGCCUUCAAGAGAGAACAGAGUUGGCUCCAAUGCUUUCAUUACCAAAAGAAGAUGUUAAAAUGCAUAGAAAUGUUAAAUCUCUACUAAAAAAA